rfam:Dipodomys ordii contig_30714, whole genome shotgun sequence.
GGGAAGGUAGCUCAGUGGUAGAGCGCUUGCCUUGAAUACAUGAGGCCCUGGGUUCAAUUCCUCAGCACCA